GACGAACGCUGGCGGCGUGCUUAACACAUGCAAGUCGAACGGAAAGGCCCUUCGGGGUACUCGAGUGGCGAACGGGUGAGUAACACGUGGGUGAUCUGCCCUGCACUUUGGGAUAAGCCUGGGAAACUGGGUCUAAUACCGAAUAGGACCACGCGCUUCAUGGUGUGUGGUGGAAAGCUUUUGCGGUGUGGGAUGGGCCCGCGGCCUAUCAGCUUGUUGGUGGGGUAAUGGCCUACCAAGGCGACGACGGGUAGCCGGCCUGAGAGGGUGACCGGCCACACUGGGACUGAGAUACGGCCCAGACUCCUACGGGAGGCAGCAGUGGGGAAUAUUGCACAAUGGGCGCAAGCCUGAUGCAGCGACGCCGCGUGAGGGAUGACGGCCUUCGGGUUGUAGACCUCUUUCACCAGGGACGAAGCGUAAGUGACGGUACCUGGAGAAGAAGCACCGGCCAACUACGUG
rnacentral:rRNA from 1 species